GACGAACGCUGGCGGCGUGCUUAACACAUGCAAGUCGAACGGUAAGGCCCUUCGGGGCACACGAGUGGCGAACGGGUGAGUAACACGUGGGGGAUCUGCCCUGCACUUCGGGAUAAGCCUGGGAAACUGGGUCUAAUACCGGGUAGGAACUCGGCCCGCAUGGGUGGUGGUGGAAAGCUUUUGCGGUGUUGGAUGGGCCCGCGGCCUAUCAGCUUGUUGGUGGGGUGAGGGCCGACCAAGGCGACGACGGGUAGCCGGCCUGAGAGGGUGACCGGCCACACGGGGACUGAGAUACGGCCCAGACUCCUACGGGAGGCAGCAGUGGGGAAUAUUGCACAAUGGGCGCAAGCCUGAUGCAGCGACGCCGCGUGAGGGAUGACGGCCUUCGGGUUGUAAACCUCUUUCAGCACCGACGAAGCGCAAGUGACGGUAGGUGCAGAAGAAGGACCGGCCAACUACGUGCCAGCAGCCGCCGUAA
rnacentral:rRNA from 1 species